rnacentral:rRNA from 1 species
UACGUAGGGUGCAAGCGUUGUCCGGAAUUAUUGGGCGUAAAGAGCUCGUAGGCGGUUUGUUGCGUCUAUCGUGAAAACCUGCAGCUUAACUGUGGGCUUGCGGUGGAUACGGGCAGACUUGAGCUCGGUAGGGGAGACUGGAAUUCCUGGUGUAGCGGUGAAAUGCGCAGAUAUCGGGAAGAACACCCGUGGCGAAGGCGGUUCUCUGGGACGGUACUGACGCUGAGACGCGAAAGCGUGGGGAGCGAACAGG